rnacentral:misc_RNA from 1 species
AAGUCGUAACAAGGUUUCCGUAGGUGAACCUGCGGAAGGAUCAUUACUGAAUCUGAUAUAUGUAUAAAUUAUAUAUACCUUUUCCAGGUUAUAUAUUAUAUAUAUUUUAUCUUCAAUUCUAUACGUGAACUCACAUAUAUUGCACUGCUUGGUAGAUUAUAAUUUACUUUAUAAUUUACCAUCAGAAUUUAUUAUACCCCUUUUUUUUAUUUACAAGUCUGAAAUUGAAAUACUAAAAAAAAUUAUAAAACUUUCAACAACGGAUCUCUUGGUUCUC